UGGAAUGAAACUCUGGAGAACUGAGUCCUCUGUUUAGCCCCAGAGCAAGUACAGCACAGGUAGGAGUGGUGCAAGCUUCACACAUGCUGUACCCACCAAUGUACCUCAAGCCUGAACCUCGGAGAGACAACACCCUUUGGAGACAGGGUGGGCGGAGCUCAGCUUUCAGGUAUCUCUUCCUUCCUCGGUCCCU
rnacentral:sRNA from 1 species